GAUGAGCGCUAGCUACAGGCUUAACACAUGCAAGUCGAGGGGUAACGAGAGGAAAGCUUGCUUUCCUUGUCGACGACCGGCGCACGGGUGAGUAACGCGUAUCCAACCUGCCCCCAACUAGGGAAUAACCUUGCGAAAGUAAGACUAAUACCCUAUAAUUUCCUCAGAUGUCAUCUGACGAGGAAUAAAGAUUUAUCGGUUGUUGGUGGGGAUGCGUCUGAUUAGCUUGUUGGCGGGGUAACGGCCCACCAAGGCAACGAUCAGUAGGGGUUCUGAGAGGAAGGUCCCCCACAUUGGAACUGAGACACGGUCCAAACUCCUACGGGAGGCAGCAGUGAGGAAUAUUGGUCAAUGGGCGGAAGCCUGAACCAGCCAAGUAGCGUGCAGGAUGACGGCCCUAUGGGUUGUAAACUGCUUUUAUACAGGAAUAAAGUUAGCCACGUGUGGUUAUUUGUAGGUACUGUAUGAAUAAGGACCGGCUAAUUCCGUGCCAGCCGCCGCCGUAA
rnacentral:rRNA from 1 species